GUUAGUGCAUGAACCCUGCAACUUUAACUGUACAAUCCCAUCUUCAAAGCCUUUAUAUAUGACAUCACCUCCAUCCUCCUGAACUGUUGGCCUGAGGAAACAGAAUAUUUAUUAUAAUAGAAAAUAUUACUACAGAACUGAAAAAGUGCUGUGCAUCUACAACAAUAGUUCAUGUCAAGGGAAACCGUGACGUUCGGAGGCUCUGAAAAUCAGAUUCAAGAGACAAUAUCCUCAGAAGCCAUAAGUAGAACAACAGUGUGCCUUCACAGCAUUAUGCAUUAUCAAAAAGGAAGACGUAUCACAGAAAAUAAUUGUAAAAACUGAACACACAGCCUGGUAAGGAGUGUUUGUGACAUUUUGGUGUGGACAAGAAAUUGCAGUAAUCUGGAAACCUGCAUAGCCUUUCAGAGCAAGCACAGAAUUCUUUUUAAUCACCCAAACUAUCUUAUCUGAAUGGACAGCUCAACCAGUUUAACUAAGCUGGCUCUGAUAACGUGCUUAUUGACUUUCAGCAAACAUUUUGUAUUAACAGUUGAUAUUAAAAUCAUUUAUAAAAGUUGGUAAAAAUAUACCCAACAUUUAUGAAAAAAGUAUUUAGUUGUUUACUCAGAUAGUAUUAUUUUAAUAGGAUU